AUUCGGUUAUUACGGAAUGGAGGCCUAGAACGAUUUCAAUUUCUAAUCGGAUUGCUUCUCUAAUUUAUAUAAGUUUUGAUACAUAGGAACGACCUGAUUCUCAGUGACGGCAGGCUGCUAGCAGUCAUUGCUCGAUUUGCAGCUUAUAACCUCCAAUGUCCGCUUUUAUCGAGUAAUUCUUUUAAUAAUCCACAAACUGGAAUGUACAAUGUUAUUUUUCGACAAACAUUACACCAUGGGAGGAACCAAUCAGCCUAGUGUGUAUGCCAAACAGGUUGCAGUAACAACAGCCAACAGAUACCCACAACCUCUGGUUUGUCACUUUCCAGUUCCUACCAACUUCUGAAAUCUAUCAAAAUCUGGAAAGAAAAUUGUAUCCUGCUUUAGGAAGCUUUGUUAGCAGCAGGAUUUCUUCCGAAUUGUAUGAUCAUUGGUUUUCCUUUGAACACAUAGCCAUGCGCUAGAUUCUGCAAAACCAUAAGGGGCGAUUCGGUUAUUACGGAAUGGAGGCCUAGAACGAUUUCAAUUUCUAAUCGGAUUGCUUCUCUAAUUUAUAUAAGUUUUGAUACAUAGGAACGACCUGAUUCUCAGUGACGGCAGGCUGCUAGCAGUCAUUGCUCGAUUUGCAGCUUAUAACCUCCAAUGUCCGCUUUUAUCGAGUAAUUCUUUUAAUAAUCCACAAACUGGAAUGUACAAUGUUAUUUUUCGACAAACAUUACACCAUGGGAGGAACCAAUCAGCCUAGUGUGUAUGCCAAACAGGUUGCAGUAACAACAGCCAACAGAUACCCACAACCUCUGGUUUGUCACUUUCCAGUUCCUACCAACUUCUGAAAUCUAU
rnacentral:lncRNA from 1 species